AUUACAACCGUACGAUGUUCAGCUCCUAGAUCGCCCGUAUACGGGAGAUGCGCAUACACGAACAUCCGUUAGAUUGUAUGUCCGCUAGACUCAAUAGAAUAUCACAGAGAGAUGAUGAUACACUAUACCUAUGCAAACGGAUAUUAGAUUGGACCAAAAUUGGAAACCCAUAACAGAUUCUAUCGGAUCACGUUACCUUAUUGUAAAUACUUAUCCGAAAAUAGCUUAUUGAAGCAGCGACAAUCUUAAAAGCAAUGGCCAUUUAGGAAAUGUUAUAGGCGUGUAAAAUUUCGACUAGAUCUUCCAUGACACUAACAGAUCAAAAUUAACCGUGAUACAGUUAAUAAACAUUUAUAAAAAAUUUAUGAAAAUUAUUUUGACUUUAAUUUCAGUUAAGUCAUUAAAUUGGAUGAAAUUCUCUCUCUUUCUCUCUUGCUACAGUUAUCAAUUGAAAGAAACUUACAAAGACCUCAAAGAACCGUGCGAGUAGUGCAAGUAGUCCCUUACACUACAAGAGACAUCGCGCCGCUUUGAAUAAUUAUUUUUAAAUGAAGUACACCGCGAGCUAUAUAUGCAAGGAGGCCGCGCGAGGGAAAGGGCAAGGGGAGCGAAGGGUGCUAAAGAGAGGAUCGAAAGCUGGAAGUAGGUCAGUAACGCUCGACGUGUGUGACUGCCUGCCUGUUGGGCUUUUCCCUCUACGGUGUCUACUCCUGCGGACGUGCUCGUCCUUGAUCCCGUCGCGUACCCUGCGAGAAUGGGGGCGAGAAUAACGUCCAUCUGUCCGUCCGUUUGUACGUGAGACCCGCGUAUGUGCGGGUGACAUGCGUGCAUCGUCAAUCACUGACGUUCCAUGACCUCCGCGUGGAACAUCAGCCCUACACUGCACACUCUGUAUUCCUAUCCCUGUCGCCUUACCGAGUAGUGCGGUUUCUCCUCUCUCUAUACCGAUGCGCUACUCUCUACAUGCGCGCGCGUAUGUACGUGCGGUACAUCUCUUGGUGCCGUCGCACGACAUGCACCAGGCGAUGUCGGUGUGAGAGAGCGUCUGCCCCGGCGCUGCUGCAAUCAAUACCAACUGAUGCAUUUGUGCCCGUGGCUUUCGUGCCCGGCCGUUCGCACGCAGUACCCGCGCCGAUCACCAAUCCUAUUUCCCGAUAUUUCUUCCGUAAUAACUCGCUAUCGUCUGAAUUUAGACAAUUCGAUAAAUUUCUCCUUGCAAAACAACCAGAAAUAUACUUGGAAAUCAAUGUAAUUUUAACGAAUUUCAAUCAGGGUCAAAAUCAUUAGCUCGAGGACCGACCUACUUCAAGAACGCCAGAAUAGAUAUUAAGAAAAUAGAAAAUUUACGAUCAAUGGAUUAAUUGAUACGACCUCAAAAUUAUCGAGAGAGUAUCGUUAAAAAUUAUCGUCUAUAAUUGCCAAAAAUAUCAAACCUUAUCGGUUGGAUGAAUAAAUAAACAUCGGCAUUCAAAAAUGUAAAGCUUUUAUAAAUUAUUAUCUCCUAUGUAGAAAUAGUUCGCUCGUUGCAUAACGAAUGAAAGUUGAAGAGUUAAUGUCAUACUGGAAACACAAUUGUGUUCAAACGACGUCAACUUGAAACGGAUUAUCAACGAGAAAAACUUCAAGCGUACGUGCGCAAUGCCACGCGAUCGCUACGCUUAUGUCGCUGCGUUACGACGACAUCGACACGCUAUCGACGGUUUCAUGUAAGUUUUUCUUUUUUUUCUAUCAAUAUAAAAGAAUCCAUUGUCUCUCCCCGUGCGUGCGAUAUUUACAGGGCACCCCGGGGGCCGCUUCCUGACCCGGAAGGAGGACCGAAGGGAGAGAGCCGAUAAUGUCAAUGCGGCUUUUCCUCGCGUGUUUUGAACGGGCCACACGCUGUGCGCUGAGUGCCUCUAAAUGCAACCUAUUUACUCGCCGCACCGCCUACAGGAUGUCUCGGGGAGAAAUGACUACCACUUUAACAAGGGCUAAUGUGUACGUUUCCAAAAGAUUGUACCUUUCCGCUGUUGUAGCUAUUGUUGCGCCGAGACGCCCUAGCGUGUGCCUCAGUUCUAACAAUUUCUAACAUUUUUUAUGGUAAUAUUAUCGACGAAUGUAGUGAUCAUCGAGUUGCCAUGUGUGUUAAGGAAUUGUUGAUUUUUAAAUAUACAGAGAAAGAGAAAGAGAGAGAGAAAGCAAAAAAAGUCAAAUAUUAAAAAAGUAAACAAGUAAGAAUAACUUUUAGCAAAAGUUAUCGAUUCAAACUUUAUGUCUACAUUAUAUUAAAUGUAAUUCAAUUUUUUAUUUUAUCAUCUGCGCUUUUGCUCGUUUCUUGACUUAUUAAAUCUUGUAACGCGAUAUGUCUUUAUAAGCGCGUUCUAAAAAUAUGGGCCUAUAUUUUUACUUAAUAUAAGCAAUAUUUAAUAAUAAAAAUAUAAACUAAAUGAGAAAUGGAUAAGACAAAAAUUUAAUAAAUUGUAUCUAGUUUUGUAUUAACAAUACUUAAAAAAAUCAGGUAUAAUUGAUCCUGUUAAUGUUUGAUCAGUUUAUGUAGCAGCUAAUGUAAUCGUGCAUUUUGUAUUCAAUUUUUGUAUUUUCACAAAAGAAUGUUUAUUGUAAAAA